rnacentral:rRNA from 1 species
UACGUAGGGUCCAAGCGUUAUCCGGAAUCACUGGGCGUAAAGCGUGCGUAGGUGGUUCGUUAAGUGAGAUGUUAAAACGUGUGGCUCAACCAUAUCGUUGUAUCUCAUACUGGCGAACUAGAGGAUGGCAGAGGCAAGUGGAAUUUCUCGUGUAGCAGUGAAAUGCGUAGAUAUGAGAAGGAACACCAAUGGCGAAGGCAGCUUGCUGGGCCACCCCUGACACUGAGGUACGAAAGCGUGGGGAGCGAACAGG